rnacentral:misc_RNA from 1 species
GCAAACUUGGUCAUUUAGAGGAAGUAAAAGUCGUAACAAGGUUUUGUUGGUCCUUCCCGGGUGAACGCCACAACGGAAGCCUAUGCCGCCAGAAAUGGUGCAUAUACCGCGACUCUAAAUAAGUAUGUAUAUCAAGGGCAAGUCAUGUCCUGUAAUGGGUUAUGGCAACGCUGUCAAAUUGCGGCGAGUCCCUAAAGACCCGUGCGACCAAGCGCCAUCCGAAAGGGUGGCGUGGCCGAGUUAGCAGCCCUGGGUAUGGUAACACUGCACGAGUAUGAUCGGCCUCCUUGUGGGAGCCGUGAAAUGGGUAAGCACGCAGC